rnacentral:lncRNA from 1 species
CAUCGGUUGAUUUAUAUGUGCUAUCUUAUUAGUUAUGGCAAGUUGAGUUUCUGUAUGCCAUCAUGUGAAGGGGACAUAACAUCUCAGUCAUCCAUACAAGCUAACUAGAUGUCGGUCAGCCCUUCUACGUCAUAUGAUGUGUGCAAGAUUGGAUGCCAUAACAGGCCAGCCAUCCAAACAACUAUGCAAACUCGUACCUAUUUUCAGUAGUAAGGAUUGCAAGAAACAUGAACAAUAAAAAAUCAUGAUAGCACCCGCACCAUCAUGAACUUUAUACCACGUGGGUUACUCAAAACUCCUAGUAAAGUAAGAUAAGAUAAGCAAGAGCAAAAACAUUAUUUGUCAAAAUAUGAAGAAAAAGAAGUGACUCUAUUUAGAGAUUUAUCUACUUAGAUGGAAAAAUCAUACUCUAUCUAUAUUAUUAAUGAUUAUGUAUCCCAACCCAUCUCGAGGUAUUUGUAUCAAUACAUAUUCGGUGGAAGCCAUUUUUUCUGUCCCAGGAACCAGAUCAUGAACAGCACAAGGAGGAACGGUGUCAUUCCAUAUAGUCGGAAGCAAUAUUCAGGCAGAAGGUGUGAUAGCAGC